CUUCAGGUUGUGGCAUCUCAGACUUCUGUGUACAUUUCUCAUCCUAUCCUGUUCAUCCUCUACAAAAGAACUUAAAUGGAGAAUUUGACCAGGAAACUGAAAAUACAGCUGCAGUGCUGAGAAAGAGGCAAAGGAUUGGUCGUUAAGAUAUGUGAGACCACUGCCUACGUGGGAGAGUGUCUUUGCUUGGUGUCUUCUGAAAGCUUGGGUUUUAUGAAGGAACUUGAGGUUGUGCAAAGGUGCAAUGGAAGGAAUGAUGUUUUGUCUGGAUGCAAGGGCUUGGAAAACUAAUGGGUGGUAAUGGAAAGCUAUCUUACAUUCUUUGCACCUGUACUUCUCACCUUAAACCACAAACUUUAAAUACAGGAAAGCUUCCCAGAACAAUGUAUUUGUUAAAAAGAGUUCCAAAUUCUUCAUGUUAUGCUGUAGGCUGUUAUUUUUAACUUUUUUUUUGGUAGAAUCUUUCUUUGCUUAUCUUAACUCUUCCUUCAUGAAGGCACGAGAUUUGGCUCUUAGCUCCAUACACCUUAGAGGGCCACACCCUGAGCACAAAAUAGCAUUGGAGGUCUCUCUGCUGCCUUAUCCUUCCAAACACAAACUUUCAAAGUGUUUGGGAUGUGGAUGUUCCUUUGUUCUGCUCAACAGACCUCUGACUGUGGCAAUGUCCUUAAGGUUAUAACUAUUAUUGAAGGGAAGCACAAGAACAUGGUUAUCCUGCAUGUGGCUUUAAUUAUGGAUUCUCAUGAAUCUUUUUCAUACUUGCACUUAACUAUUUUGCCCUGAAAUCUUCUCCACUCCAUAAGGACUAUGUUCAAGCAUGUUGUUAAAAUACUGUAUAGGAGCUAACUUGAUGGAUUACCACUUCAUUUCUAAUUCAGCAUGACAAACUAUACAGAAUAGAUCGAAUAACUAGGGCCUGUUCCUCAGGAAAGCAUCUAUAAAUUAAAAGCAAAGGAGUUUGGGCUAUUUUUCAUCAUGCGAAGUCCACUGGCUGAGUUUUCACACCAAACAAAACAAUAUCAUCAUUUUAUAAGACGUUUUUUGAAAACAGAGGGUUUCUUUAUUAUUGAAUGAAAAAAAAACCAAUAAUAGCAGCCCUUCAUUUUUUAAAAAUAAAUAUUUAUACAAGCAUGCACUGUAAAAUGAGAUAAUUUAGAGUCUGAAGCCCUACAGGGAAAAAUCUCUCCUUCUUUCUGAUGGUAUUUUUCUGAACUGUUUGAUAAAUAUUAACCACUGUGGUAGUUAAAAACAUAAAAGUACUUUUGAAUACUGAAAGGAGAUCAGUUUCCAUUUUAUAGAUCUGAUCACAUUCAGUGUGAACUACAUCUGAGCAUUAAAGAGUAGAAUCUAUCCACCUAGAAAGCAGAGGUAAAUUAAGUCAAAACAAAGCGUGCAUUGACAAAUAUGCCGUAGGACAGAUGCAUUUCUGAAAUACAGUCAGGAUAACUUUUGACUCUAGAUUCCUUUCCAGUGUCUCAGAAAUUGCUGUAAUGUUGGUGCUACUAAGCCUAAAACAUUCACACUCAAAAUAUUAAACCAAAGGAGUUGUGCAGAAUUUGUUUUUCUUUGUUGACUGGCUUUAAAUAUGCUCUUUUUUUUAGUUUUAAUUUGAGCUGUGGUUAUGAUUCUGUUUAGAACUGGGCCAGAACCACAACUUUGGAUCUAAAUACCCACAACUCCUGGCCCAGACUGGAAUUUUUCAUCUUGAACUCAUCUCUGAUUCAAAAGAACCCCCAAUUUCUGUUAAAACCACUAAGCUGAGGUUGUUGGAAUGCCAAGCCACAACUCAGCCCAGGUUUGUUUGAAGAUGGACCUCAAUCCAUCUAAAACUGGUCAUGGGUUUGGUUGAAUGUGAUCCAAAAUUGAAUGGUAAUAUUUACAAACUUCAGAAAAUCUAUGCAGAAUUCAACAUUUGCAAGAAAACUGAAUUGACAGAGUUUUGUGAGGUCCACAGGAAACAAAAUGAAGACAUUCAUGCAAUUCUGCAAACCCAUUGUGACAAUUGCACUCAUUCAGAGGAUCUGACAGUUUGGAGAACUCUUGUGCUUGAGAGUAAUUCUGAAAAUAGUGAUGCAAAUGUAUCAGCUUUCUCUCGUGUUUUUUCCAUGUUUAGUGGAAUUGUUCUUGUUCUGCUCUGCAUUCCAUACAAUUAAAAUGAAAGCCUU
rnacentral:lncRNA from 7 species